GCCAUGUCUCUCUGCGGUAGUCAUUGCUGCGGUUAUUACCACAACACCUUCCUCCCCGCUGAAGUACUUUACAACCCGAAGGCCUUCUUCAUACACGCGGCAUGGCUGCAUCAGGCUUGCGCCCAUUGUGCAAUAUUCCCCACUGCUGCCUCCCGUAGGGGGGCGGGGGCGGCGGGCCGGGCGCGGGGCGCGGCGGGCGA
rnacentral:rRNA from 2 species